AAUCCUGGCUCCGGAUGAACGCUGGCGGCGUGCCUAAUACAUGCAAGUAGAACGCUGAAGGAAGGAGCUUGCUCUUUCCGGAUGAGUUGCGAACGGGUGAGUAACGCGUAGGUAACCUGCCUGGUAGCGGGGGAUAACUAUUGGAAACGAUAGCUAAUACCGCAUAACAGUAGAUGUUGCAUGACAUUUACUUGAAAGGUGCAAUUGCAUCACUACCAGAUGGACCUGCGUUGUAUUAG
rnacentral:rRNA from 1 species